UACGGAGGGUGCAAGCGUUAUCCGGAUUCACUGGGUUUAAAGGGUGCGUAGGAGGGCAGGUAAGUCAGUGGUGAAAUCCCCGAGCUUAACUUGGGAACUGCCGUUGAUACUAUCUGUCUUGAAUGUUGUGGAGGUGAGCGGAAUAUGUCAUGUAGCGGUGAAAAUGCUUAGAUAUGACAUAGAACACCAAUUGCGAAAGGCAGCUUACUACGCAUAUAUUGACGCUGAGGCACGAAAGCGUGGGGAUCAAACAGGAAUUAG
rnacentral:rRNA from 1 species